rnacentral:rRNA from 1 species
AUUGAACGCUGGCGGCAUGCUUUACACAUGCAAGUCGAACGGUAACAGGCCGCAAGGUGCUGACGAGUGGCGAACGGGUGAGUAAUGCAUCGGAACGUGCCCAGUCGUGGGGGAUAACUACUCGAAAGAGUAGCUAAUACCGCCUACGAUCUAUGGAUGAAAGCGGGGGACCGUAAGGCCUCGCGCGAUUGGAGCGGCCGAUGUCAGAUUAGGUAGUUGGUGGGGUAAAGGCUCACCAAGCCAACGAUCUGUAGCUGGUCUGAGAGGACGACCAGCCACACUGGGACUGAGACACGGCCCAGACUCCUACGGGAGGCAGCAGUGGGGAAUUUUGGACAAUGGGCGCAAGCCUGAUCCAGCAAUGCCGCGUGCAGGAAGAAGGCCUUCGGGUUGUAAACUGCUUUUGUACGGAACGAAACGGCUCUGGUUAAUACCCGGGGCUAAUGACGGUACCGUAAGAAUAAGCACCGGCUAACUACGUG